rnacentral:rRNA from 1 species
UUAAUCGGAAUUACUGGGCGUAAAGCGUGCGCAGGCGGUUUUGUAAGUCUGAUGUGAAAUCCCCGGGCUCAACCUGGGAACUGCAUUGGAGACUGCAAAGCUAGAGUGUGUCAGACGGGGGUAGAAUUCCACGUGUAGCAGUGAAAUGCGUAGAGAUGUGGAGGAAUACCGAUGGCGAAGGCAGCCCCCUGGGAUAACACUGACGCUCAUGCACGAAAGCGUGGGGAGCAAACAGGAUUAGAUACCCUGGUAGUCCACGCCCUAAACGAUGUCUACCAGUUGUCGGGACUUAAUUGUCUUGGUAACGCAGCUAACGCGUGAAGUAGACCGCCUGGGGAGUACGGUCGCAAGAUUAAAACUCAAAGGAAUUGACGGGGACCCGCACAAGCGGUGGAUGAUGUGGAUUAAUUCGAUGCAACGCGAAAAACCUUACCCACCCCUGACAUGGCAGGAAUCCCCAAAGAUUUGGGAGUGCCCCAAAAAACCGCACACAGGUGCCGCAAGGCCGUCGUCACUCGUGUCG